CAUGCAAGUCGAGCGAGAAGCUAACUUCGGUUAGUGGAAAGCGGCGCACGGGUGAGUAACGCGUGGGAAUUUACCUUUUGGUGGGGGACAACAGUUGGAAACGACUGCUAAUACCGCAUAUACCCUACGGGGGAAAGAUUUAUCGCCAAGAGAUGGGCCCGCGUUAGAUUAGGUAGUUGGUAGGGUCAAAGCCUACCAAGCCUACGAUCUAUAGCUGGUUUGAGAGAACGAUCAGCCACACUGGAACUGAGACACGGUCCAGACUCCUACGGGAGGCAGCAGUGGGGAAUCUUGCACAAUGGGCGAAAGCCUGAUGCAGCCAUGCCGCGUGAGUGAGAAGGCCUUCGGGUUGUAAAACUCUUUUAGAUGUGAAGAUGAUGACGGUAACAUCAGAAAAAGCCCCGGCUAACUUCGUGCCAGCAGCCGCGGUAAUACGAAGGGGGCUAGCGUUGUUCGGAAUUACUGGGCGUAAAGAGCGUGUAGGCGGCUAGAUAAGUUAGGGGUGAAAUCCCGGAGCUCAACUUCGGAAUUGCCUUUGAUACUGUCUAGCUUGAGAUUGCGAGGGGAUAGCGGAAUACCCAGUGUAGAGGUGAAAUUCGU
rnacentral:rRNA from 1 species